CCUACGGGUGACAGCAGUGGGGAAUAUUGCGCAAUGGGCGAAAGCCUGACGCAGCGACGCCGCGUGAGGGAUGAAGGUCUUCGGAUCGUAAACCUCUGUCAGCAGGGAAGAACGGUCACUGUGCUAAUCAGCAGUGACUUGACGGUACCUGCAAAGGAAGCACCGGCUAACUCCGUGCCAGCAGCCGCGGUAAUACGGCGGGUGCGAGCGUUAAUCGGAAUUACUGGGCGUAAAGCGCUCGUAGGCGGUAUGUCAAGUCAAGGGUGAAAUCCCCGCGCUCAACGUGGGAACUGCCUUUGAAACUGGCAAACUGGAGUAUAUGAGAGGAUAGUGGAAUUCCAGGUGUAGGAGUGAAAUCCGUAGAUAUCUGGAGGAACAUCAGUGGCGAAGGCGACUAUCUGGCACAUAACUGACGCUGAGGAGCGAAAGCGUGGGUAGCAAACAGGAUUAGAUACCCGGGUAGUC
rnacentral:rRNA from 1 species